GGGGGAUAAGCUUCAUUGUCAAGAGGGAAACAGCCCAGACUACCAGUUAAGGCCCCUAAAUAUUUACUAAGUGAUAAAGGAUGUAAUAGUACAUAGACAACCAGGAGGUUUGCCUAGAAGCAGCCACCCUUUAAAAAGUGCGUAAUAGCUUACUGGUCAAGUGCUUUUGCGCCGAAAAUGAAUGGGACUAAGUAUUUUGCCGAAGCUGUAGGAUAAUAUCGGUAGAAGAGCGUUCUGUAUUGGUUUGAAGCAAUAAUGAAAAUAGUUGUGGACUAAGCAGAAGUGAGAAUGUCGGCUUAAGUAACGAAAACAUUGGUGGAAAUCCAAUGCCCCGAAAGCCUAAGGUUUCCUUCGCAAGGCUCGUCCACGAAGGGUUAGUCAGGUCCUAAAAUAAGGUUAAUAAACGUAGUUGAUGGAUAACAGGUUAAUAUUCCUGUACCGUGUUUUAUUUGUUGAAAGUGACGAAGAAGGCUAUGUCAGCCAUAUAUUGGUUGUUUUGGUUUAAUCUUUCCAGACGUUGAGAAGUAGAAAAAAAAAUGCUUCGAGUUGAGAAGAGAAUACGAAUAGCAUUACGGUGCUUAAAGUGAUUUAUGUCAUGCUUCCAAGAAAAGCUUUUACAACGCGUAGUAAAACACGCCUGUACCUUAAACUGACACAGGUAGGCUAGUAGAGUAUACUAAGGGGCGCGAGAUAACUCUUUCUAAGGAACUCGGCAAAAUGACUCUGUAACUUCGGGAGAAAGAGUACCUCUAUUAACAUGAGGUCGCAGUAAUCAGACUCAAGCGACUGUUUACCAAAAACACAGGUCUCCGCUAAGUUGUAAAACUAUGUAUGGGGGCUGACGCCUGCCCAGUGCCGGAAGGUUAAAAAAAUUGGUUAGCGUAAGCAAAGCUGGUGAUUGAAGCCUUGGUGAACGGCGGCCGUAACUAUAACGGUCCUAAGGUAGCGAAAUUCCUUGUCGGGUAAGUUCCGACCCGCACGAAAGGCGUAACGAUUUGAGUACUGUCUCAGAAAGAGACUCGGUGAAAUAGAAUUGACUGUGAAGAUGCGGUCUACUUGCACUUGGACAGAAAGACCCUAUGAAGCUUUACUGUAACUUGAAAUUGGUUUUGGACUUUCUUUGCGCAGCAUAGGUGGGAGGCUAUGAACUUCUUUUUCGGAAGAUAGGGAGCCACAAUAUGAGAUACCACUCUGAGAAAGUUAGGAAUCUAAUGGCAUUGUUUUAUCAAGAUGUUUGACAGUUUCAGGCGGGCAGUUUUACUGGGGCGGUAGCCUCCUAAAAGGUAACGGAGGCGUACAAAGGUUUUCUCAGUCUGGACGGAAAUUAGUUGAAGAGUGUAAAGACAUAAGAAAGCUUGACUGUGAGACCUACAAGUCGAACAGAGACUAAAGUCGGUCUUAGUGAUCCGACGGUGCUGUGUGGAAAGGCCGUCGCUUAACGGAUAAAAGUUACUCUAGGGAUAACAGGCUGAUCUCCCCCAAGAGUUCACAUCGACGGGGAGGUUUGGCACCUCGAUGUCGGCUCAUCGCAGCCUGGGGCGGUAGUACGUCCCAAGGGUUGGGCUGUUCGCCCAUUAAAGCGGUACGUGAGCUGGGUUCAGAACGUCGAGAGACAGUUCGGUCCAUAUCCGGUGUGAGUGGUAGAGUAUUGAAAGGAGCUUUCCUUAGUACGAGAGGACCGGGAAGGACACACCACUGAUGUACCAGUUUUUGUGCCAACAAAUAACGCUGGGUAGUCAAGUGUGGAGUGGAUUACUGCUGAUCGCAUA
rnacentral:rRNA from 1 species